GUGGGGAAUAUUGCGCAAUGGGGGAAACCCUGACGCAGCGACGCCGUGUGAGGGAAGAAGGCCUUCGGGUUGUAAACCUCUGUCCUUGGUGACGAAAAAAAUGACGGUAGCCAAGGAGGAAGCCCCGGCUAACUACGUGCCAGCAGCCGCGGUAAUACGUAGGGGGCGAGCGUUGUCCGGAAUUACUGGGCGUAAAGGGUGCGUAGGUGGCCUUUUAAGUUGGAUGUGAAAUACCCGGGCUUAACUUGGGGGGUGCAUCUAAUACUGGAGGGCUAGAGUGCAGGAGAGGGAAGCGGAAUUCCUAGUGUAGCGGUGAAAUGCGUAGAUAUUAGGAGGAACACCAGUGGCGAAGGCGGCUUUCUGGACUGUAACUGACACUGAGGCACGAAAGCGUGGGGAGCAAACAGGAUUAGAAACCCCUGUAGUCC
rnacentral:rRNA from 1 species